rnacentral:rRNA from 1 species
UACAUUGCCAAGCGUUUACUCUUAUCCACUUACAUGCCUCAAGUCAAGUCUAGUAACAAGAACAAGAAAGAUUCUUCCUCUAGUAUUAACAAUGAUCAUGCUAAAUCCAAUAUUGUUGCUUCUAGUAGUUCUCUUGCUUCCACUAAUGAUUCUCUUAGCCAAGUUACACUUGAGCAAGAAAAUAGCUUAUUGAAGGGAAUUAUAGAGAAAGGAGUGUACAAAAGCCUUGCCGGGAGUAAGCAAUUCGAGGAAAUUGUGCGCAAGCAAGGAAUGCACCGAAAGAAUCAAGGUGUUGGUUUUGAAUGA